rnacentral:rRNA from 2 species
UUCCGUAGGUGAACCUGCGGAGGGAUCAUUACAAGUGACCCCGGUCUAACCACCGGGAUGUUCAUAACCCUUUGUUGUCCGACUCUGUUGCCUCCGGGGCGACCCUGCCUUCGGGCGGGGGCUCCGGGUGGACACUUCAAACUCUUGCGUAACUUUGCAGUCUGAGUAAACUUAAUUAAUAAAUUAAAACUUUUAACAACGGAUCUCUUGGUUCUGGCAUCGAUGAAGAACGCAGCGAAAUGCGAUAAGUAAUGUGAAUUGCAGAAUUCAGUGAAUCAUCGAAUCUUUGAACGCACAUUGCGCCCCCUGGUAUUCCGGGGGGCAUGCCUGUUCGAGCGUCAUUUCACCACUCAAGCCUCGCUUGGUAUUGGGCAACGCGGUCCGCCGCGUGCCUCAAAUCGACCGGCUGGGUCUUCUGUCCCCUAAGCGUUGUGGAAACUAUUCGCUAAAGGGUGUUCGGGAGGCUACGCCGUAAAACAACCCCAUUUCUAAGGUUGACCUCGGAUCAGGUAGGGAUACCCGCUGAACUUAAGCAUAUCAAUAAGCGGAGGAA